AGAGAUGCAUUGGGUUUAAAGUGUGCGCAGGCGGUUUCGUAAGACAGAGGUGAAAUCCCCGGGCUCAACCUGGGAACUGCCUUUGUGACUGCAAGGCUGGAGUGUGGCAGAGGGGGAUGGAAUUCCGCGUGUAGCAGUGAAAUGCGUAGAUAUGCGGAGGAACACCGAUGGCGAAGGCAAUCCCCUGGGCCUGCACUGACGCUCAUGCACGAAAGCGUGGAGAGCAAACA
rnacentral:rRNA from 1 species